rnacentral:rRNA from 1 species
UACGUAGGGACCAAGCGUUGUCCGGAAUCAUUGGGCGUAAAGCGCGCGUAGGUGGCCAUUUAAGUCCGCUGUGAAAGUCAGAGGCUCAACCUUUGAAAGCCGGUGGAUACUGGAUGGCUAGAGUACGGAAGAGGCGAGUGGAAUUCCUGGUGUAGCGGUGGAAUGCGCAGAUAUCAGGAGGAACACCAAUAGCGAAGGCAGCUCGCUGGGACGUUACUGACACUAAGGCGCGAAAAGCGUGGGGGAGCGAACAGG